rnacentral:rRNA from 1 species
AACGAACGCUGGCGGCAGGCUUAACACAUGCAAGUCGAACGCCCCUUCGGGGGAGUGGCAGACGGGUGAGUAACGCGUGGGAAUCUACCCAGUUCUGCGGAACAACAGUUGGAAACGACUGCUAAUACCGCAUACGCCCUACGGGGGAAAGAUUUAUCGGAAUUGGAUGAGCCCGCGUAAGAUUAGCUAGUUGGUGAGGUAAUGGCUCACCAAGGCGACGAUCUUUAGCUGGUCUGAGAGGAUGAUCAGCCACACUGGGACUGAGACACGGCCCAGACUCCUACGGGAGGCAGCAGUGGGGAAUAUUGGACAAUGGGCGCAAGCUUGAUCCAGCCAUGCCGCGUGAGUGAUGAAGGCCUUAGGGUUGUAAAGCUCUUUCAGUAGGGAAGAUAAUGACGGUACCUACAGAAGAAGCCCCGGCUAACUUCGUGCCAGCAGCCGCCGUAAAAC